CAACCCGUGCAGUAAUGUACGACUGAGCUGUCAGAAGUCAGCAGAGGUCAUACUACCAGAGCGGCUAUAUACGCUCUGGGAAGGAC
rfam:Pelosinus fermentans B4 ctg6, whole genome shotgun sequence.